GCUGAAACACCGGUUCUCGUUCGAUCACCGAAGUUAAGCAUCGUAGAGCCAGGUCAGUACUUAGAUGAGGGACCGCUUGGGAACACCUGGUACUGUAAG